rnacentral:lncRNA from 1 species
ACUUAAGAAGGCAGUCUUUGUAUGGUUUACAUUUAAUAGCCAAUUUCCUUUUUCUGAAUAUAUUGUUUUGAUUUCAGCUAAACUGAUGAGGUGUCAGAGUGAUUGUACCUCCCCGCAAGUUGUGUUAUAGGAGCUGCACUGAAAACAGGUGAUGUUAGUCAUACCUCCUAAUAAAUCAGAGGCUACACUUGGGUUUCAUCACAACUGUCUUAGGACAAAAAGGCUGGUAGCACAAAACAGCUGAGAAAAGACUGUCUGAAGAAUCAGAGCAUCAAGGAAAUUCCCUGUUCCUGGGGCUGCUUGUUUGGCUUUUACUCAGGCAGUUCCUGAAAUCAAUACAGUCAUUUAGCCAGUGAUUGGCCAAUCAUUUUUCUAAGGAACUACAAGAAAGAGCCUCAAAUGGGAGGGACAAUGCAAAUGAGAAAAUGAAUUAAUGGCCAUUACAAUAGACAGCAAAAGAAAGUGCAGUUCUGAGGAAGCUUGAAAGUGUUUAGGUAGAUAAUAAAUUUUGAAUACCUUCUCUUAUGAAAAGUCAAACAGCACCGUAGAUGCCCACAAAUGCUGUAAGGACAGUGGAUUUAUAUCCUAUCAGAAAAUGGAAUUAAAGAAUAUCUGAGGAGGGCUGCAAUACCCUGUGCUGAAUGGAGUGAUCAGCAACAAAAAAGCCCAGAGGUAACAGAGGUGUAUCUUGCGCUGAAUGGAGAUAUUUCACAUAAGCUUGUUGACACAAAGCUUGCAGCCUGUUUGUCAGUGAU